GACAGAGGCCCCGAGCGUUAGGCGGAAUCACUGGGCUUAAAGCGUGUGUAGGCGGAUGCCUAAGUACCUUGUGAAAUCCCACGGCUUAACCGUGGAACUGCUUGGUAUACUGGGUGUCUUGAGCCACCUAGGGGCGAGCGGAACAAGUGGUGGAGCGGUGAAAUGCGUAGAUAUCACUUGGAACGCCAAUGGUGAAAACAGCUCGCUGGGGGUGUGCUGACGCUGAGACACGAAAGCCAGGGGAGCGAACGGG
rnacentral:rRNA from 1 species